rnacentral:rRNA from 1 species
GACAGAGGGUGCGAACGUUGCUCGGAAUUACUGGGCGUAAAGCGCGUGUAGGCGGGUGAUCAAGUCAGGUGUGAAAUCCCCAGGCUCAACCUGGGAACUGCACUUGAAACUGGUCGGCUUGAGUGUUGGAGAGGGAAGCGGAAUUCCUGGUGUAGAGGUGAAAUUCGUAGAUAUCAGGAGGAACACCGGUGGCGAAGGCGGCUUCCUGGACAAUGACUGACGCUGAGACGCGAAAGCGUGGGGAGCAAACAGG